GCACAGAGUUGGGAGUGACUCCAGAGCCUCCAGCGAGAUGCUGCUGAUUCUGCUGUCAGUGGCCCUGCUGGCCCUGAGCUCAGCUGAGAGUUCAAGUGAAAUGUCAGCCAGGAAGAAUCUCUCUUCCUAAUAUCAGAAAGCCAGAAGGACGACGCCCACAAGGAGGAAACCAGCCCCAACGUCCCCCACCUCCUCCAGGAAAGCCACAAGGACCACCCCCACAAGGAGGAAACCAGUCCCAAGGUCCCCCACCUCCUCCAGGAAAGCCAGAAGGACGACCCCCACAAGGAGGCAACCAGUCCCAAGGUCCCCCACCUCAUCCAGGAAAGCCAGAAAGACCACCCCCACAAGGAGGAAACCAGUCCCAAGAAAGCCACAAGGACCACCCCAACAAGAAGGCAACAAGCCUCAAGGUCCCCCACCUCCUGGAAAGCCACAAGGCCCACCCCCAGCAGGAGGCAAUCCCCAGCAGCCUCAGGCACCUCCUGCUGGAAAGCCCCAGGGGCCACCUCCACCUCCUCAAGGGGGCAGGCCACCCAGACCUGCCCAGGGACAACAGCCUCCCCAGUAAUCUAGGAUUCA
rnacentral:lncRNA from 1 species